rnacentral:tRNA from 1 species
CCCCUUGUAGUUCAACGGAUAGAACAAGGGACUCCUAAGCCCUAGAUCUAGGUUCAAUUCCUGGCAAGGGGACCA